rnacentral:tRNA from 1 species
CCGACCUUAGCUCAGUUGGCAGAGCGGAGGACUGUAGUGGAUAUCACAGCUAAUCCUUAGGUCGCUGGUUCGAAUCCGGCAGGUCGGA